GAUGAACGCUGGCGGCGUGCCUAAUACAUGCAAGUCGAGCGAACAGACGAGGAGCUUGCUCCUCUGACGUUAGCGGCGGACGGGUGAGUAACACGUGGAUAACCUACCUAUAAGACUGGGAUAACUUCGGGAAACCGGAGCUAAUACCGGAUAAUAUAUUGAACCGCAUGGUUCAAUAGUGAAAGACGGUUUUGCUGUCACGUAUAGAUGGAUCCGCGCCGCAUUAGCUAGUUGGUAAGGUAACGGCUUACCAAGGCGACGAUGCGUAGCCGACCUGAGAGGGUGAUCGGCCACACUGGAACUGAGACACGGUCCAGGCUCCUACGGGAGGCACCAGUAGGGAAUCUUCGGCAAUGGUCGAAAGCCUGACGGAGCAACCCCGCGUGAGUGAUGACGGUCUCCGGAUCGUAAAACUCUGUUAUUAGGGAAAAACAAAUUUGUACGUAACUAUGCACGUCUUGACGGUACCUAAUCAGAAAGCCACGGCUAACUACGUG
rnacentral:rRNA from 1 species